CUGAGACUUUAAGUCUCCUGAAGGAACGUUGAAGACGACGACGUUGAUAGGCCGGGUGUGUAAGCGCAGCGAUGCGUUGAGCUAACCGGUACUAAUGAACCGUGAGGCUUAACCUUA
rnacentral:rRNA from 1 species